rnacentral:rRNA from 1 species
GACAGAGGAGGCGAUCGUUAUCCGGAGUCAUUGGGCGGAAAGGGUACGUAGGCGGCUAGGCAAGUCUGAGGUUAAAGACCACAGCUUAACUGUGGGAAGGCCUUGGAAACUGACCGGCUGGAGUGGGGCAGGGGUUGCGGGAAUUCCCGGUGUAGCGGUGAAAUGCGUAGAUAUCGGGAAGAACACCUGAGGCGAAAGCGCGCAACUGGGCCCUAACUGACGCUGAGGUACGAAAGCUAGGGGAGCGAAGGGG